rnacentral:rRNA from 1 species
AGUGCAUUGGCAUAAGGGGGCUUGACUGCGAGACCUACAAGUCGAGCAGGUGCGAAAGCAGGCCAAAGUGAUCCGGUGGUCCCGCGUGGAAGGGCCAUCGCUCAACGGAUAAAAGGUACUCCGGGGAUAACAGGCUUAUUCCAUCCAAGAGUCCAUAUCGACGAUGGAGUUUGGCACCUCGAUGUCGGCUCAUCACAUCCUGGGGCUGGAGCAGGUCCCAAGGGUUUAGCUGUUCGCUAAUUAAAGUGGUACGCGAGCUGGGUUCAGAACGUCGUGAGACAGUUUGGUCCUUAUCUUCUGUGGGCGUAUGAGAUUUGCGCAGACUUGUCCUUAGUACGAGAGGACCGGGAUGAACGAACCUCUGGUGUUCCUGUUGUCGCGCCAGCGGCAAUGCAGGGUAGCUAUGUUCGGAAUUGAUAACCGCUGAAAGCAUCUAAGCGGGAAGCAAACUGCAAGAUUAGAUCUCACUGGGGCUUCGGCCCCCUAAAGACCCCUUGGAGACUACGAGGUUGAUAGGCGAAAGGUGUAAGUACAGCAAUGUAUUCAGCUGAUUCGUACUAAUAGGUCGUGAGGCUUUUUUAA